rnacentral:rRNA from 1 species
GAGGAAAGAUUGAGGCGUGCCUAAUACAUGCAAGUCGAGCGAACAGACGAGGAGCUUGCUCCUCUGACGUUAGCGGCGGACGGGUGAGUAACACGUGGAUAACCUACCUAUAAGACUGGGAUAACUUCGGGAAACCGGAGCUAAUACCGGAUAAUAUAUUGAACCGCAUGGUUCAAUAGUGAAAGACGGUUUUGCUGUCACUUAUAGAUGGAUCCGCGCCGCAUUAGCUAGUUGGUAAGGUAACGGCUUACCAAGGCAACGAUGCGUAGCCGACCUGAGAGGGUGAUCGGCCACACUGGAACUGAGACACGGUCCAGACUCCUACGGGAGGCAGCAGUAGGGAAUCUUCCGCAAAGGGCGAAAGCCUGACGGAGCAACGCCGCGUGAGUGAUGAAGGUCUUCGGAUCGUAAAACUCUGUUAUUAGGGAAGAACAAAUGUGUAAGUAACUAUGCACGUCUUGACGGUACCUAAUCAGAAAGCCACGGCUAACUACGUG